GUGUAUUACAUUAGUGCUUGCUAUUCAAAUCCUUGCAACUUUUUAGACUUGUACAUUGCAGACCAUCUAAAUAACUCAGCAAAAGCAAAACCUGCCUUGAGGCACUCUGUCCUCAGGUGAAUUUAAAUUUUGAAAAGGGGAGAUUAUUCUGACACAGUUUAAAGGCUUUUCUCCAAAAUCUGUCACAGGUAACAACUGUGUCCAGGCAGAAGUUCAUUCCUUCCACUAUGACAAAGAAGACAGACCAAAGAGAUCCAGUUCACACACUGAGCAUGCCUUGACUUCACUCAAAAAAGAACUGCAACAGCCGAAGGAGGCGGUCCCCAUGACUCCGAGAAGAGGUUUCCACUGGAUCACUUCUUGCUGCUUGGAGUACCUUCCUAAGAGGAAGACUUGUAUCUAUCCAGUGUACGAAAGUAAGCAUCCAGAGGACUGA
rnacentral:lncRNA from 1 species